CUGCUGAAGUCCAGAUCGUGAAGAGCUAAUCCCGAGCUUGAGAUAUUUCCAGGAGAAAGAACUGGACAUUUCCCUCUUCCCUCUGCAAUGAGGUACCAGCAAUUGAUUCCAAAAACUUCCAGUUGUCCUGUAUAAUUCAGCAACGCUCCUGAUACCCUGGCAGCAGUGUGGAAGACUCCGUGACAGUGGCGACGCUGGGAGAGAAAUAUUCCGGAUUCGACAAGAACCAGCAACUCUCCAAUCUGCUCAAUCCACUCGCCUGGUGCAGAGAGCAACAGGACGGAGACAGAGCCGGCUGGGAAGACUGUCUGCUCAGUUUAGUUAGCAGUAAGAGAGAGGGCUAGAGACAUUCAACAUCUUCUACUCGACUGAGAUAGAUUCAAGACUCCGAAAUGCAGAUUAGGAGAAUGGAAUUAGGUUUAAAAGCUCCUCUCUGAUCAUUGAGCCAGAAUUUGUGGCACGGCGAAGAUAAAGCCUCUCUGUUGAUCAUCCUUUACAAAAACAGGAGAUAAGGCAUCUCAGCUAUCUAUAUCAUUGCUACUGUAAGCUGUAGUAACUGACACUGGCCCAUCCUGGUGGGGACAGAGGUUGAGUUUUCUGCCCUUUUCCUCAUGUGUACACCCACUCGUCUUUUCCAUUUCCUUUUCAAUCCAUUCCCUGUGAGGGGAAGGGCAUCGCCAACACAUAGAGGGUAAAGCACAGGUUAUACCCCUGUCCAAGGCCACAGGCCCUGGUGCUAACCUGUUCAGCUGCAAGGGCUUUGAGUCUGUGAGUCAGAAACUCUCAGAACUCUCGGGCGACGGGCCUUCGGAAGGCUUGGUGAGAAGCACCAAGCUUGGAGGUGUUCUUGGAGAAGGGUGUGGCUUUGUGGAUCAAAUGGAAGCAGCACAGAUAGUGGCACAUUCCUCUUGGCACCAGGCUUGCCAAGACCAGGGUAUGCACAGCUAGGUCUCUGAGAGAGAGAGAGAGAGGGAGAGAGAGAGAGAGAGAGAGAGAGAGAGAGGGAAAUAGAGAGAGAAGCAGAAAGAGAGAGAGAGUGGGAGAAAGGUAGGGAGAGAGACAGAGAGAGAGGGAAACAGAGAGAGAGGGAGAGAGAGAGAGAGAGAGACAGAGACAGAAACAGAGAGGCCGAGAGAGGGAAACAGAGAGAAAGAGACAGAGGAAGGCAGAGAGAGGGAAACAGGGAGAGAGAGGCAAAGAAAGACAAAGGGAGGGAGAGAGACAGAGAAAGAGAGAAACAGAAAGAGAGAGAGAGACACAGGGAGAGAGGACACAACCUUAAUGUGACAAGCCCAGCCCAGGGCUGAGAAUCUUCAGGAAGCUGUGAUCCUCCUCCUUCCUGGCCUCUCAUGCAAGAGAUCGACACACUAAGUCUCGGGGCAGUUGACAACCCAGUCCCAGACAGGGUAUUCACAGGCUGCACCCUGUGUCUGUUCACUCGCCAUCAGAGAGUAAAACAAGACACAUGUCCUGGGAGAGACACCGCCAACGCCAUUUUAACAGUGCUGUGAAAGUUGUGACAUAAUUUGACAAACACUGAGUCAAAGAAGAACAUUCCAGGACAAAUUGCAAACACAAAAUGAAGGAGUUUUAAGCAGCUUUCCAAAGGAAGACAGAGAGGUGGAGAGAUUUUGGAAAGGGGUUGGGGUUGAUUGCCACCUGUUUAUUGAUCACCAAGAGUUUGGGAGUAGCCCAGAAUUUCACUUCUUUGUUAGGUAGGCUGUCUUGGUGUCCCAAGCCUUUGAAGAAUCCACGGGAUCUCAGGUAUAGAAACUGAGAUCGUAGCUGUCUGGGAUCCUGGGUGAGCAAAGAUUGGAGGAAGGGCGUGCUGGUGGAGGCAGUCAACGGAUCAGGCCCUACCCCACAACAGAAAACCACAGACCCUCUCAGACCAGGCCAUCUCCCUGGAGGUCAUUUCCUCACCGUGGGCUGUUGACUGGCAAUCAGGUGUCUGAUCCCAAGUCAAAGCUGAAAGAGCAGCCAAUUUGUCCAGUGUCAACAGGACAAUUUGAUUGGAGGUUGUAAAGAUUUGGGCCCAACCCUAAGAAGGGGGGAGAGGGGUCACUGACGGAAGCUGCCUUUCCCAAGCAGAAUACAUCAGAAACUCUUAUUUCUGCUUUCCAAUCUUUGAUCAGAGAACGGAGGCAGUGAUCUGUCUCAAACUCUGUCAAGCCAAAAGAAAACUGGCUGUCAACUUGAGACGGUGAGGUCUUGAUCUGUAGGCUUGCUAGGGCAAGGAGAAUUAAUUAGUGGCUUUACGUUUUUGAAGAAACAAACUGCGUCAAUUGACCUAAAGACUUUCAGGCCUUUGACGUGGGCCCCGUUCAGGUCAAUCGGGGAACAGCUUGCCAUGAAGGAAGCUGGGCCUUCUGAGUUAGUUGACAGUGAGUCAGAAAAGUUGGAUCUAGAAUGUUCCAUCUGCUGCCAUGAUUACAACUGGGCCGACAAGUGUCCUCGGGAGUUGGAAUGCCUCCACAUUUUCUGUACCGAGUGCCUCACUAAAAUGGAGGCUCAACUGCCCAACUCAUGCCGUCACAUCUCUUGCCCACUCUGCAGGUAUUCUACUGAGCUCACGGCUUCAGGGUCCUUGGGCCUACCCCGCCAGGAGGAGAUUCUCUCCAAGCUGUCAUUGCAGCCGGGAGGGCACGGUAGCUCCUCAGCUACCCUCAGCCAGCAGCUCAUCCUGACCCUGGACUCAGGUGAGACCACUGUCAUCAUGUUGCCCACAGUCAGCCUGAGUGUGGAGCAGGGGGACGGGCAGCGGGCUUCCAGAUCCUGGAACCUCCGAGACCAUUCGCUCGUCCGCCAGAACCAGAAACAGCAGGCCGUUGUGUGCCUGAGGAAGGCCUCCUGGAGAGUGGCCACCCUUCUGAUCCUCUUCUGCAUUGCUGCUUUUGUACUUGGCCCACGACUCUUCUAGUGCCAGUCUAAGUGGUGCCCAGAUGGAGCCUCCAUCUGGGAUCCCGAGGUGGGUACAGGUGGAUGUGGGGAAACUCCCUCAGGGACUCCCUCCGGGAACAGUAGCAUUCAGUCACAUGGAUAAGAUUGCCCUCCUCACCCUCUCCAUCACACCCUAUCAUCAUCACAUUCGGGAUAUAACCCAACCUGUUGGUCAAUCCCUCAACUAUCUCAUUCAGCAGUGAGUCACACAAAACAAAAAAGGGGAUGCAACGGCCUAGUGAUAUAUUGCUGGAAUUGCUAAUCCAGAGACUCAGGUAUCAAUCUGGGGACCCGGGCUCAAAUCCCACCACGGCAGAUGGGUCACUAAUGUCCUUUAGGGAAGGAAACUGCCAUCCUUACCUGGUCUAGCCUACACGUGAUUCAAGACCAACAGCAAUGUGAUUGGCUCUUAACUGCCCUCUGGGCAAUUAGGGAUGAGCAAUAAAUGCUGCCGAGCCAGCUUCGCCCUCAUCCCAUGAAUGAAUAAAGUAAAAAAAAAACCAAGGUCUCCACUUCCUCCAUUCUGACUCUCAUCAAUCUUCUUUUCUCUCUCUUUCUCUCCACUGCACUCUCACCUAAUUUCUCACCCUCGUAAUCUCUCUCCACUCCACUCUCCCUACUCUUGCUCGCAUACCCCCUCCUUGAUCCUCACAUUCUCUCUCUCUCUCCCCUCUGCUCUCACUCUCUUCUUUGUCUCUCUCUCAAGGUCUCUCUCCUCUGUGUACUCUCCUAACUGCUUUUUCACUCUCUCUCCCCUCACUCUCUCCCACGCUUUCGCUUCACUCUGUACUCCUUUAAUCUCUGUUAUUCCCUUUGACUCCUCCAUGCCCCUCUAAUCUGUCUCUAAUGUGCUCUCCCUCCACUCUGCACUCUCCUAAUCACUCUUUCAUAUUCUGUCUCCCAUUCCUCUUUCCCAAUCUUUUUCUUAUGCUCUCUCUCUCCCCCACACUUUCCCAAUCACACACUCUCACACUCUCCCCUUCACUCUCACCUCCCUCCCCUGCUCGCCCUCUCUCCCUCCUCCCACUAUUUUCUCUCUCUCUCCCUCACAAAUUUUCUUUCCCAUUCCUCAUGAUUUCCUCCUCCUUCUCAUACAUUCUCCUCCCUUUUCCAUCUGAUUUUCUUAUUUCCCUGUGCCCAUUGGAUGUAGUUUCAAUCGAGGUGAGUGCUUGGUUUUCCAAAAAAAAAGGCCCUUAGUUUUAAAAGUAAACGACUGAAAGAAUUUCAUGGAGGGAGUGGAGGGGGUGGAGGUAAUGGCAUGGAGCAACCAAGUGUGGUGAUUACAUUUGUGAUACAGAGUUAGCAUCCAGUUGGCAGAUUUCUCUGAGAUAACAAAGUGUAGAGCUGGAUGAAUACAGCAGGCCAAGCAGCAUCAGAGGAACAGGAAGGCUGACAUUUUGGGUCUAGGCUUGACUAGGGUCUAGAAUUCUAGAUUUCUCUGCUGUGUUCAAUUCCAGUAGGUUUAGGACAGGACCUCAGUUCCAGAAGGUGUGAGAGACACUUCCCAUGGUGGGUGAAGUUGUGCCAAACCCAUGCUCACCAAUGAACCCCUCCCCCCGAAAUGAGUUCUGGGAAGGACGGCUCAUCAUUGACCUUCCUGCCUCAGGGCCAGUUGGAGGCCUGAUCCAUGACCAUGUGAAUGGUUUCGUACUAUCACUGUUGAGCCCAGCCCAACCGUAGGAGGCCUGUGCCCAAGGGAUGAGCUGGGUAGCUGUCACCUCGAGGCCAUCUUAUCGCUUCAGAGAGGGGAAUAAUCCUUGAACAAAGGCAGGACCUGCUGGCGGAUCUGCUGGCUAGGGCCCUCAGUCCUGGCCUCCCCUCUCCGGGCGAAUUCCAAAGCAGGAAGCCAUCAACUAAUGACCUUUGUUCCUAGUGUUGCACUCUGGGGUUGCCCUUUGGGCAGCCAAGUCCUCCUCCAACUGCUCUACAGGAAUUCUGCUCCCUACCUGGGAGGUGGCACCUGCAGCCAUGACGAUGAACUCCAUCCCCCCAAACCCAACAUGUCUCCCAAAGCAGGAACCUCCACCCAACAUCAGACAUCCCCGACAGCUAUUUGAAAUGGACUCCCUCCCAACAGAUCCCCCAUGACAGGAAUGCCCAGCACGGGAUCCUGAAUAGGGGGCACCAACGACAAGAGGCCCCCAUCGCAGGAAUCCCUGCACAGGACCCUGACCAUGGGACCACUCACCUUUCCAAAAAGGGACCUCAGCACCCCACACCCAAUCUGGAGAUCCCAACAACUGAGCAAAAAGGUUCUGAUAUUGGAUUGGACUCAACAACUCUCUCCAUAUUGUCUGUUUCAAACUGAGCAAUGUCAAUAUUCUUCCCAAUGAAAUCUGGCAGGUGAGCUGGAUGAGGGAUAGUGUAAAAUGAGCUUUACUCUGGAUCUAACCCCACGCUGUUCCUGACGUUGGAAUGUCCAAUAGGGACAAUGUAGAAAGGCCUUACUUACAGUCUAAAAGAGUGGAAGGAGCUUUACUCUGUAUGUAACCCCAUGCCGUACUGGUCCUGGGAGUGUUUGAUGGGGAUGGUGUAGAGAGAGCUUUACCAAAACCAUGAGUAACACGAACAGAGGUAGGCCAUUCAGCCCCGUAGCCUGGUCUGCCAUUCAAAUAGCUGAUCCAACAUUCCUCAUAUCUACUUUUCGGUCUUUUCCCUGUAAUCCUUGAUUCCUCUGCUCAUCAAGAAUGUUUCUAUCUCAGCAUUAAAUGUACACAAAGACUCUGCACCCCAGCUUUCCAUGGCAAGGAGUUCCAAAGACACUCAACUCUCUGAGAGAUGAAAUUCCGCCUCCUCUCAGUCUUAAAUUGGCGCCGCUUUAUGCUGAGACACUGCCCUCCAGUCCUCGACCUACCCGGGGAGUGGGGGGGGGGGGGGGGGAAACAUCCUCCUAGUAUUGACCCCAUGUUGUACCUGUCAUGUGAGUGUUCAAGGGGACUUGUCUGCUUGACAAACCAGAAGAUGAAAGGAUGUUUCUCUUGUCAUCAAAAUCUCAGGCUUUAAACCGUUUUAAAAUGACAAAUCUCUUCCUUAAGACCAAGGCGAGAAGAUAUAUCUCUUUCACAGAGCCAAGAGUCCGUCGAGCUCAGUGGAGAUUGGGUCAUUGAAUCUGUUCAAAGCCAAGUUCGGGAGGUUCUUUACUAGCAAAGAAAUCAUGAGUUGUGACAGGCUGACAGGAAAGUGGAGUUGAGGUCAGAAUCAAAUCAGCAAUAAAUUUUUGAAGCGACAGACAAGGCUUGGAGGGCCGAAUGGUCCACUCUUGCUCUGAAUUCGUAAGGUCUUGUAUGAUAGUCUAUUGCAUGAAUACUUUACUGAACAGUUUUUGUAAAUGGAAGCAUAUUACAUCCAAUAGUUUCCCCUUUACCCAGUCUCAACAUCAAUAAACAACAUCUCAGUCUCAACAUUAAUAAAUGCUGAACAGCUUUGUCAAAUCACAA